ACCCCAGACUCCUACGGGAGGCAGCAGUGGGGAAUAUUGCACAAUGGGGGAAACCCUGAUGCAGCGACGCCGCGUGAGUGAAGAAGUAUUUCGGUAUGUAAAGCUCUAUCAGCAGGAAAGAAAAUGACGGUACCUGACUAAGAAGCCCCGGCUAACUACGUGCCAGCAGCCGCGGUAAUACGUAGGGGGCGAGCGUUAUCCGGAUUCACUGGGUGUAAAGGGAGCGUAGACGGCCAUGCAAGCCAGGGGUGAAAGCCCGGGGCCCAACCCCGGGACUGCCCUUGGAACUGCAUGGCUGGAGUGCGGGAGGGGCAGGCGGAAUUCCUGGUGUAGCGGUGAAAUGCGUAGAUAUUAGGAGGAACACCAGUGGCGAAGGCGGCCUGCUGGACGAUGACUGACGUUGAGGCUCGAAAGCGUGGGGAGCAAACAGGAUUAGAUACCCCAGUACAU
rnacentral:rRNA from 1 species